CCUACGGGAGGCAGCAGUGAGGAAUAUUGGUCAAUGGGCGCGAGCCUGAACCAGCCAAGUCGCGUGAGGGAAGACGGUCCUAUGGAUUGUAAACCUCUUUUGUCGGGGAGCAAAAGACGCCACGCGUGGCGUUCCGAGAGUACCCGAAGAAAAAGCAUCGGCUAACGCCGUGCCCGCAGCCGCGGUAAUACGGAGGAUGCGAGCUUUAUCCGGAUUUAUUGGGUUUAAAGGGUGCGCAGGCGGAAGAUCAAGUCAGCGGUAAAAUUGAGGGGCUAAACGCCUUCGAGCCGUUGAAACUGGUUUUCUUGAGUGAGUGAGAAGUAUGCGGAAUGCGUGGUGUAGCGGUGAAAUGCAUAGAUAUCACGCAGAACUCCGAUUGCGAAGGCAGCAUACCGGCGCUCAACUGACGCUCAUGCACGAAAGUGUGGGUAUCGAACAGGAUUAGAUACCCUAGUAGUC
rnacentral:rRNA from 1 species